UUGAAUUUUGAUUUUUUUCAACACACUCAAUGGUCUCUGAACUUGAAGACUACAGUGCUAUCUCCUUUUGCAGUUUUAAUUUUCUGACU